AGGGGUGUAGCUCAGCUGGCCAGAGCAACGGUCUCCAAAACCGUAGGUCGCAGGUUCGACUCCUGCCGCCCCUGCCA
rnacentral:tRNA from 1 species